rnacentral:rRNA from 1 species
GAUGAACGCUGGCGGCGUGCCUAAUACAUGCAAGUCGAGCGAACAGACGAGGAGCUUGCUCCUCUGACGUUAGCGGCGGACUGGUGAGUAACACGUGGAUAACCUACCUAUAAGACUGGGAUAACUUCGGGAAACCGGAGCUAAUACCGGAUAACAUGUUGAACCGCAUGGUUUAACAGUGAAAGACGGUCUUGCUGUCACUUAUAGAUGGAUCCGCGCCGCAUUAGCUAGUUGGUAAGGUAACGGCUUACCAAGGCAACGAUGCGUAGCCGACCUGAGAGGGUGAUCGGCCACACUGGAACUGAGACACGGUCCAGACUCCUACGGGAGGCAGCAGUAGGGAAUCUUCCGCAAUGGGCGAAAGCCUGACGGAGCAACGCCGCGUGAGUGAAGAAGGUCUUCGGAUCGUAAAACUCUGUUAUUAGGGAAGAACAAAUGUGUAAGUAACUAUGCACGUCUUGACGGUACCUAAUCAGAAAGCCACGGCUAACUACGUG